UUGGAGGGCAAGUCUGGUGCCAGCAGCCGCGGUAAUUCCAGCUCCAAUGGCGUAUAUUAAAGUUGUUGCAGUUAAAAAGCUCGUAGUUGAAUUUCGGGAUCAAUAUAUCGGUCGUGCCUUGGUACGUACUGGUAUCACUGGUUUCUCCUUUCUGACGAACCAUGAUGUCAUUAAUUUGGUGUUAUGGGAAGUUAGGACUGUUACUUUGAAAAAAUUAGAGUGUUUAAAGCAGGC
rnacentral:rRNA from 1 species